GAUAAAACACUUACUAGCGUUUAAUUUACCAAACUGUAUUAGAUUCAAGCAAAGUUUCUCACCGCAUGCUCCAGCCGAUUGCUGACCAAACUCUCAGGUCAGGAGCUCUCCCCUGGAGCCCGAUGACUGUUCUCCUUUGUCUUCUUAGGUAUGAUGCCAGAGCCAGACAGGGAGUGAGACGAGGGGUGUCUUGGGGUGCCCACCCCUUCUUUUUAUAGUCCUGGCCCCCCUUUGAGAAGCAUUUCCAGCUGGGAGCCAGGCGACAGACAGGCUGGUAGAGAAAGAAAAUUUCCUGCUGUUUCUUUGCUACGCUGUAGAUUUUUGUCCCUGCCCACUUCCUCGCCAAAGAAUGGCCACUUAGCAGGUAUGUCCAUCAGCCUCGUUGACAGAUGGCUGAGGCGUCAGUUUGCCCUUUGUCUCUGGGGAAUUGUUUAGCCACCUGACUAAUCUGGGAAACACGCUUCAGUCAUGAGUUCAGAUGAUGUCCAUAACUUUACAUAUAACGCUGCUACGUGCAUUUUGCCAUGAUGUUACUGAUCAGCAAGUUAUCUGUUUUGAACUGAUACCACACAAGGCAUACCUUGUACAGACACCCUUACAAUAGUCUGUAGGGUGUGAACGCUGGUGUUUUCUGUCACAAUGGGGCAUCGACACACCCCAGACAUUGAGACACAUGGGACUAAGGGAUGCUGGUGAGCAGACAGUGGGGACUGGAGCAGAAAGGGUAUUAUAGUGCAAAGAGAUGGCUGUAUGAUCCUGUGAGACCCAGCGAUACAGGCGUGACUGAUGUCUGGCUGUUUGGAGCCUGGGGCCCCAAACCCAUGGAGAGCCUGAGAAGACAAAGGCCACUCGAAUUGCCCAGACAUUUGGCACCUAGCGAUUAACGACCAUGGAUGGCCCACCCGCCGCAGGAAGCCAGCCAGGUGUGACCAGCUGGAGAACAAAGGGCUAAGGAGCAGUGGAGGAUCUACAGAGCUCCGACAUCCUUCUUUGGCUUCAUCAGGACCGUUCCGCUCCACCACCUGAAUCAACACUCAACCCCAGCAUGCAAAUAAUCAGCGAUAAUGCAGUAAUGUCAGGUCUGUCAUGAGCUAUUGCCUCAACCCGGAGUUUCCUGGCUGGGCUGGCAGAAGUUGUUUCGAAAGGCAAUCCAUUCAGGUUAGAUCUGCGACUGGUGCAUCAGAGGAAUUGCUCUGUCUCUCUGGCCAGAAGCUUCUGAUACUGAAAUCUGCAGUUAGACGCCUCAGCGACACUGGAACUAGGGACCAGUCAACAAUGAAGCAACUUGCUCUCCUGCUGCUCCUCAUCUCAGUGACCAGGGCGGCCCCUUGCGUCACCCCCUGUGCAGCUGAGAGCGUGGGUGCUGCUGAACUGAAACUCGCCAUCCGUGACCUGCUGGAGAACUGGGAAGACACGUCCUGCUCCCAGAGCGGCCAGAGCGGCCAGAGCUACCAGAGCCUGCCCCGCAGCUGCAAGGAAAUUAAAGCCACCCGGGACGGGGCUGGAGAUGGGAUUUACACCCUGCGCACAGAGAACGGCGAGACCUACCAGACCUUCUGCGACAUGACCACCAAGGGGGGCGGCUGGACCCUGGUGGCCAGCGUGCACGAGAACAACGCCUACGGCAAGUGCACCGAUGGCGAUCGCUGGUCCAGCCAGCAGGGGAGCAACGCCAACUACCCAGAGGGAGAGGGCAACUGGGCCAAUUACAACAUCUUCGGCUCCGCGGUGGGCUCCACCAGUGACGACUACAAGAACCCUGGUUAUUAUGAUCUACAAGCCCAGGACCUGUCCGUGUGGCAUGUAACCAACAAGACGCCCCUGAAGGAAUGGAAGACCAGGUCCAUUCUGAGGUACCACACCGAAACCAGCUUCCUGUCCUCAGAAGGGGGGAACCUCUUCAGUCUCUACCAGAAAUACCCAGUGAAAUACGGCGCCGGCGUCUGCAACACCAACAAUGGCCCCGCCGUGCCCGUCAUCUACGACUAUGGCGAUGCCCAGCAAACUGCCAACUAUUACUCUCCAAACGGCCGAAAGAGCCGCAGGAGACACAUUGAAGAGCCACUUGCGGCUGGCAAGCUGCCGUCUGAGUAUCACUGAUUUAGAGAAAGGGAAAACAAUGAAAGAAGAGAGAGCAAAUGGAAAAUCCCCAGGAGAGAGCACGGUGUGUGUUCCCCACUUUAACAUGCUACAUGGCAACUGCACACAAACCAGCUCUUGGGAAUGUAAAGAUGCCGUGACAGUGACAGAUCUGUGAACAGCCCAGCGGAGACUGCUGAAUUUGUUCCUGGCUACAUCCAGUUCCGCGUGUUUAAUGCUGAGAAGGCGGCCAUGGCUCUGUGUGCUGGGGUGAAAGUGACCGGCUGUAACACCGAGCAUCACUGUAUAGGUGGAGGAGGAUUCUUCCCAGAAGGAA